GAUAUUUUCCAGGCCUUGUCCCUAUAACCAGUUACAGAAAUGAAAACUCUCUUCCUCCCCAGUUCAUCUGCAUCUCAUUAUUGGGCCACGAGAAAUAGAAGCCUGACCCUCAGUUUGGUUCCAGAACAGUUUUAUGGUUUUCUGCGGUGGGUCACCAAGGAAGCCAGAGUGGAGGCUGCAGGGAAUAUGGAUUUAAAUGAAUUUUGGCUGUACCAUCAAGCAGUCUGAUCACUGAGGAAAUAUCAAAAGCUUCACCCGAGUGACUCAUCACCCAAAUUCAACAGAGAGUGAAGAGAAAUGUGCUUUCUGCUGAUAUUGUGCCCAAGGAGGAGUUGUAG
rnacentral:lncRNA from 1 species